rnacentral:tRNA from 1 species
GGUCCGUUGGUGAAGCGACUUAACACACGCCCCUCUCAAGGGCGCACUCAAGGGUUUGAAUCCCUUACGGAUCACCA